CCUACGGGGAGGCAGCAGUGGGGAUUAUUGGGCAAUGGGCGCACGCCUGACCCAGCAACGCCGCGUGAAGGAAGAAGGUUUCCGUGCUUUAAACUUCUUUUGCCAGGGAGGAGUAGAAGACGGUACCUGACGAAUCAGCGACGGCUAACUACGUGCCAGCAGCCGCGGUAAUACGUAGGUGGCAAGCGUUGUCCGGAUUUACUGGGUGUAAAGGGCGUGUAGACGGGUUGACAAUGCAGGUGUGAACUCCUGCGGCUUAACCGCAGAACUGCAUUUGAAACUGUGUAUCUUGAGUACUGGAGAGGCAAAUGGAAGUCCUAGUGUAGCGGUGAAAUGCGUAGAUAUUAGGAGGAACACCAGUGGCGAAGGCGGUCUGCUGGACAGCAACUGACGGUGAGGCGCGAAAGCGUGGGGAGCAAACAGGAUUAGAUACCCGGGUAGUC
rnacentral:rRNA from 1 species